UGUUGAGGAAGAUAAUGACGGUACUCAACAAGGAAGUGACGGCUAACUACGUGCCAGCAGCCGCGGUAAAACGUAGGUCACAAGCGUUGUCCGGAAUUACUGGGUGUAAAGGGAGCGCAGGCGGGAGGACAAGUUGGAAGUGAAAUCCAUGGGCUCAACCCAUGAACUGCUUUCAAAACUGKUYUUCUUGAGUAGUGCAGAGGUAGGCGGAAUUCCCGGUGUAGCGGUGGAAUGCGUAGAUAUCGGGAGGAACACCAGUGGCGAAGGCGGCCUACUGGGCACCAACUGACGCUGAGGCUCGAAAGUGUGGGUAGCAAACAGGAUUAGAUACCCUGGUAGUCCACACCGUAAACGAUGAUUACUAGGUGUUGGARGAUUGACCCUUUCAGUGCCGCAGUUAACACAAUAAGUAAUCCACCUGGGGAGUACGACCGCAAGGUUGAAACUCAAAGGAAUUGACGGGGGCCCGCACAAGCAGUGGAGUAUGUGGUUUAAUUCGACGCAACGCGAAGAACCUUACCAAGUCUUGACAUCCUUUGACGAUCSUAGAAAUAGUAUUUCUCUUCGGAGCANAGAGACAGGUGGUGCAUGGUUGUCGUCAGCUCGUGUCGUGAGAUGUUGGGUUAAGUCCCGCAACGAGCGCAACCCUUAUGGUCAGUUACUACGCAAGAGGACUCUGGCCAGACUGCGUUGAACAAA
rnacentral:rRNA from 1 species